GGACUACAGGGGUUUCUAAUCCUGUUUGCUCCCCUAGCUUUCGCGCCUCAGCGUCAGCUGUAGCCUAGAAAACCGUCUUCACCACUGGUGUUCUUCCACAUAUCUACGCAUUUCACCGCUACACGUGGAAUUCCGUUUUCCCUAACUACGCUCUAGCCCAUCAGUUUCAAAUGCCGCUCCACGGUUGAGCCGUGGAAUUUCACAUCUGACUUGAUAGGCCGCCUACGCGCCCUUUACGCCCAGUAAUUCCGAUCAAUGCUUGCACCCUCCGUAUUACCGCGGCUGCUGGCAC
rnacentral:rRNA from 1 species